rnacentral:rRNA from 1 species
CGUGAAGGAUGAAGGCCUUCUGGGUUGUAAACUCUUUUACCUGGGAAGAAACCACCUUUUCUAAGGGUGUUGACGGUACCAGAGGAAUAAGCACCCGGCUAACUCCGUGC